rnacentral:rRNA from 1 species
UACGUAGGGUGCGAGCGUUAAUCGGAAUUACUGGGCGUAAAGCGUGCGUAGGCGGUUCGUUAAGUUCGUUGUGAAAGCCCCGGGCUCAACCUGGGAAUUGCGAUGGAGACUGCAAGGCUUGAAUCUGGCAGAGGGGGGUAGAAUUCCACGUGUAGCAGUGAAAUGCGUAGAGAUGUGGAGGAACACCGAUGGCGAAGGCAGCCCCCUGGGUCAAGAUUGACGCUCAUGCACGAAAGCGUGGGGAGCAAACAGG